rnacentral:tRNA from 1 species
GAAAAAUUAGUUAAUAAUAACGUCAAUUUGUCAAAUUGAAAUAACCAGUUUAAUGGUAUUUUUUU